CUACAACCGUGUGGUGUUGCACGACGGCAGUGAGAGCACAAGAGGAGACUACAUCAACGCCAGCUACAUUGACGGUUAUAAAGCAGAGAAACGUUACAUUGCAGCACAAGGUCCCUACAGACCAGAAGUCGUGGUGGAUUUCUGGAGGAUGAUCUACCAGG